CGGGGUGUAGCGCAGUUGGUAGCGCGCCUGCUUUGGGAGCAGGAUGUCGCAGGUUCGAAUCCUGUCACUCCGACCA
rnacentral:tRNA from 1 species